ACACUCCUACGGGAGGCAGCAGUGGGGAAUAUUGGACAAUGGGCGCAAGCCUGAUCCAGCCAUGCCGCGUGAGUGAUGAAGGCCCUAGGGUUGUAAAGCUCUUUCACCGGUGAAGAUAAUGACGGUAACCGGAGAAGAAGCCCCGGCUAACUUCGUGCCAGCAGCCGCGGUAAUACGAAGGGGGCUAGCGUUGUUCGGAUUUACUGGGCGUAAAGCGCACGUAGGCGGACUAUUAAGUCAGGGGUGAAAUCCCGGGGCUCAACCCCGGAACUGCCUUUGAUACUGGUAGUCUUGAGUUCGAGAGAGGUGAGUGGAAUUCCGAGUGUAGAGGUGAAAUUCGUAGAUAUUCGGAGGAACACCAGUGGCGAAGGCGGCUCACUGGCUCGAUACUGACGCUGAGGUGCGAAAGCGUGGGAGCAAACAGGAUUAGAAACCCCAGUAGUCCCA
rnacentral:rRNA from 1 species